rnacentral:rRNA from 1 species
UACGUAGGGUGCAAGCGUUAAUCGGAAUUACUGGGCGUAAAGCGUGCGCAGGCGGUUUUGUAAGACUGUCGUGAAAUCCCCGGGCUCAACCUGGGAAUGGCGAUGGUGACUGCAAGGCUAGAGUUUGGCAGAGGGGAGUAGAAUUCCACGUGUAGCAGUGAAAUGCGUAGAUAUGUGGAGGAACACCGAUGGCGAAGGCAGCCCCCUGGGUCAAAACUGACGCCCAUGCACGAAAGCGUGGGGAGCAAACAGG